rnacentral:rRNA from 1 species
AGAGUUUGAUCCUGGCUCAGAACGAACGCUGGCGGCAUGCCUAACACAUGCAAGUCGAACGAAGGCUUCGGCCUUAGUGGCGCACGGGUGCGUAACGCGUGGGAAUCUGCCCUUAGGUUCGGAAUAACAGCUGGAAACGGCUGCUAAUACCGGAUGAUGACGAAAGUCCAAAGAUUUAUUGCCUGAGGAUGAGCCCGCGUUGGAUUAGGUAGUUGGUGGGGUAAAGGCCUACCAAGCCGACGAUCCAUAGCUGGUCUGAGAGGAUGAUCAGCCACACUGGGACUGAGACACGGCCCAGACUCCUACGGGAGGCAGCAGUGGGGAAUAUUGGACAAUGGGCGAAAGCCUGAUCCAGCAAUGCCGCGUGAGUGAUGAAGGCCCUAGGGUUGUAAAGCUCUUUUACCCGGGAAGAUAAUGACUGUACCGGGAGAAUAAGCCCCGGCUAACUCCGUG